UACGGGGGGGGCAAGCGUUGUUCGGAAUUACUGGGCGUAAAGGGCUCGUAGGCGGCCAACUAAGUCCGACGUGAAAUCCCCAGGCUUAACCUGGGAACUGCGUCGGAUACUGGUUGGCUUGAAUCCGGGAGAGGGAUGCGGAAUUCCAGGUGUAGCGGUGAAAUGCGUAGAUAUCUGGAGGAACACCGGUGGCGAAGGCGGAUCUCUGGGCCUUACCUGACGCUCAGGUGCGAAAGCUAGGGGAGCGAACAGG
rnacentral:rRNA from 1 species